rnacentral:rRNA from 1 species
GAAAGAUGGCCUCGCGUCUGAUUAGCUUGUUGGCGGGGUAACGGCCCACCAAGGCGACGAUCAGUAGCCGGUCUGAGAGGAUGAACGGCCACAUUGGGACUGAGAUACGGCCCAGACUCCUACGGGAGGCAGCAGUGGGGAAUAUUGGGCAAUGGGGGAAACCCUGACCCAGCAACGCCGCGUGAAGGAAGAAGGCCCUCGGGUUGUAAACUUCUUUUACCAGGGACGAAGGACGUGACGGUACCUGGAGAAAAAGCAACGGCUAACUACGUGCCAGCAGCCGCGGUAAUACGUAGGUUGCAAGCGUUGUCCGGAUUUACUGGGUGUAAAGGGCGUGUAGGCGGAGAUGCAAGUUGGGAGUGAAAUCCCGGGGCUCAACCCCGGAACUGCUUUCAAAACUGUAUCCCUUGAGUAUCGGAGAGGCAAGCGGAAUUCCUAGUGUAGCGGUGAAAUGCGUAGAUAUUAGGAGGAACACCAGUGGCGAAGGCGGCUUGCUGGACGACAACUGACGCUGAGGCGCGAAAGCGUGGGGAGCAAACAGGAUUAGAUACCCUGGUAGUCCACGCUGUAAACGAUGAAUACUAGGUGUGGGAGGACUGACCCCUUCCGUGCCGCAGUUAACACAAUAAGUAUUCCACCUGGGGAGUACGACCGCAAGGUUGAAACUCAAAGGAAUUGACGGGGG